CCAAGAACUUUGCCGUCCGCCCGCAUAGGCAAUGGAGUAUUCUUCAGGGCACCAGAGGAUCCAUUCUGGUUUUCACCAUUCCCGGCAUGUCGAGUGUGGCUAGAUCGAGGUUUCGCGGGCCACCUCGCUUAGAUCCUGUUGGCUGGAUUUGCCCCUGACAAAGUCCUCCUUUGGUAUAUUUUGGAAUGAUUGCUCUCCUGGGAGGACUGGCGCUGAAACUGUGAAUGCUUGAGAAAAUGUCAUUGAUCGCCAUGGUGUCCAAAGCCUCCGCGUCCUCCGGAGUAGCUGAUAUCCGCCAUGUUUGAAUGGUGGCACCUCAGUGUUGGAGAAGAGCUGUCAUAUCCCCCUCGUACUCGAUGUGUCCACUUCUGUUCCCUAUUUUUUACAGAUUUCUCUUUAUCUCACUAUGAUCAGGAAGGGCAGGAUUCCUCCUGAAAUAUAUUCCAUGACAGACCACUGUCGUGAGAAGGCUGUGGCAAUCUCACCCCGCAAUUUUGAUUGAAUUUCCCCUAACUGAGCCCGCACUGUUCCAUUUCAUUUCUCGUUCUUAAUUCUGCCUACCUUUCUUCUUUACUCUCUCUUGCCUUGCGUCGUCACGACUGCACACGUUUUGUGGUAUCCAUAUUUGAUUUAAAUCUCUCUCUCUCACGGUCUUAGGCUCGCACCGAUCCCUUGGCAUGGGCCAGCCAGUAUAUUCCGGCGAUGAACACCAUCAGUUUAGACAUGGGUUCAGAGAAGGGUUUGGAAAUGCGAUGAACCAAUUCAGCAAUGGAACCCAUGCUGGCAGAGGGCAUGGGAGAAGCAAUAUUGCAGCUAGCCACUUGGUUACCCUCAUAUUCUUGAAACUAAAUCUUCAAAAUCGCUCCUCUAUCAUCAUAACAGCCGCAUUCAGCGUGACUGCCUCGACUUUCGUGAUAUUGAGCGUUAUGUACGGUAGCUGGAAGUUGUCAAGAAGAAUUUAUCGACCGCAUAC
rnacentral:sRNA from 1 species